rnacentral:rRNA from 1 species
UACGGAGGAUGCAAGCGUUAUCCGGAAUGAUUGGGCGUAAAGCGUCCGCAGGUGGCUAUGUAAGUCUGCUGUUAAAGAGUGAGGCUCAACCUCAUAAGAGCAGUGGAAACUACAUGGCUAGAGUGCGUUCGGGGCAGAGGGAAUUCCUGGUGUAGCGGUGAAAUGCGUAGAGAUCAGGAAGAACACCGGUGGCGAAAGCGCUCUGCUAGGCCGCAACUGACACUGAGGGACGAAAGCUAGGGGGGCGAAUGGG